GAUGAACGCUGGCGGCGUGCUUAACACAUGCAAGUCGAACGAAGCACCUUGAUUUGAUUCUUCGGAUGAAGAUCUUGGUGACUGAGUGGCGGACGGGUGAGUAACGCGUGGGUAACCUGCCUCAUACAGGGGGAUAACAGUUAGAAAUGACUGCUAAUACCGCAUAAGACCACAGCACCGCAUGGUGCAGGGGUAAAAACUCCGGUGGUAUGAGAUGGACCCGCGUCUGAUUAGGUAGUUGGUGGGGUAACGGCCUACCAAGCCGACGAUCAGUAGCCGACCGGAGAGGGUGACCGGCCACAUUGGGACUGAGACACGGCCCAAACUCCUACGGGAGGCAGCAGUGGGGAAUAUUGCACAAUGGGGGAAACCCUGAUGCAGCGACGCCGCGUGAGCGAUGAAGUAUUUCGGUAUGUAAAGCUCUAUCAGCAGGGAAGAAAAUGACGGUACCUGACUAAGAAGCACCGGCUAAAUACGUG
rnacentral:rRNA from 1 species